rnacentral:piRNA from 1 species
UGGGCCAUGAACUGACUUUGUCUUGAAGAA